GACGAGCGCUGGCGGCGUGCUUAACACAUGCAAGUCGAACGCGCCUGUCCUCUGGGUUUCUGGGGGGUGGGUGAGUGGCGAACGGGUGAGUAACACGUGAGUAACCUGCCCCCUUCUUCGGGAUAACGGUCUGAAAGGGCUGCUAAUACCGGGUAUUCACUGGUCUCCGCAUGGGGUCUGGUGGAAAGGUUUUUUUCUGGUGGGGGAUUGGCUCGCGGCCUAUCAGCUUGUUGGUGGGGUGAUGGCCCACCAAGGCUUUGACGGGUAGCCGGCCUGAGAGGGUGACCGGUCACAUUGGGACUGAGAUACGGCCCAGACUCCUACGGGAGGCAGCAGUGGGGAAUAUUGCACAAUGGGCGCAAGCCUGAUGCAGCGACGCCGCGUGAGGGAUGGAGGCCUUCGGGUUGUGAACCUCUUUCGCCCGUGGUCAAGCCGCGACGUGGGUCGUGGUGAGGGUAGUGGGUAAAGAAGCGCCGGCUAACUACGUG
rnacentral:rRNA from 1 species